rnacentral:lncRNA from 1 species
UUUCAGGAAUGCUCUGAAACGUUCCCUUAGUGAUUAAAACGUGCAUGUUUAAGAUGUGCACUAAGUGUCUGUUUUUGCAGUAGAACACCAGUGCACUGCCCUGACCCCGAGUAUUUUCUAUGGCACUUGGUAAAAAUAAAACAUUGUGUUUGCUUUCCUCAUCAAGGCUGUCCACGAGUGGGAUUUCCUGCAGCUCUUUUUAGCUCGGCCAGUUUCCCUGAAUGUGAGCAGGCGCACCUGACAGCGGGAUCUCCCUUCACCUGCUGGACCGGGUCUCUCCCAGGGGGCAGCCAUUGGGGUCACCGCAGGAAAAUUUCAGAAUUUCGAGCUCCACCUACAUUAUUUCCAAAACAAGAACGGCAUCUCAGCGCGUGGGGGAAUUGAGUUGACAGCAGUAACAGCUGAACGCCCCCGUCGGCCCUACUCCGGCAAUGUGCCAUCAUAUCACUGUCCACCCAGCGUGUCUCAGUCCUGCCCUGCCCUGCCCUGCCUCUCCUUCUCCUGCCUGACCUCGGUGGCAGCAGAUUCAUGGAAGAAUCUCUCAUCUGGACACAAACCGCCAGAUCUAUUUUUAAUAGAGCCUGCUCCUUCUGUUUCUCAGGGUGGGAAAAAAACAGUAGAACUGAAAGCUGAAUCAUCUGUUGCGAAGACAGAAACUUUCGCAUUCUGAAACUGCAAGAUGUAUUCAAAAAAAAUACAGAAAGUUGAAGUGUAAAUCUGAAUUGGGACAUUUUCCUUCAUUCAUUAAAAAUCCUGACAUGCGGAUUUUAUUUUUAUAGCAGCGCUUUUCCAGAGAUCACUCAAGUACCGCUGCUCUGAUGUACGUGGACUGAUGACUGUUUUUAGUAAGGCGUUCAAAAACCAAAAGCAAUUGCAAGUAAUAAAAUUUCAAAG